AACGCUAGCUACAGGCUUAACACAUGCAAGUCGAGGGGCAGCAUGGUCUUAGCUUGCUAAGGCUGAUGGCGACCGGCGCACGGGUGAGUAACACGUAUCCAACCUGCCGUCUACUCUUGGCCAGCCUUCUGAAAGGAAGAUUAAUCCAGGAUGGCAUCAUGAGUUCACAUGUCCGCAUGAUUAAAGGUAUUUUCCGGUAGACGAUGGGGAUGCGUUCCAUUAGAUAGUAGGCGGGGUAACGGCCCACCUAGUCAACGAUGGAUAGGGGUUCUGAGAGGAAGGUCCCCCACAUUGGAACUGAGACACGGUCCAAACUCCUACGGGAGGCAGCAGUGAGGAAUAUUGGUCAAUGGGCGAUGGCCUGAACCAGCCAAGUAGCGUGAAGGAUGACUGCCCUAUGGGUUGUAAACUUCUUUUAUAAAGGAAUAAAGUCGGGUAUGCAUACCCGUUUGCAUGUACUUUAUGAAUAAGGAUCGGCUAACUCCGUGCCAGCAGCCGCGGUAAUACGGAGGAUCCGAGCGUUAUCCGGAUUUAUUGGGUUUAAAGGGAGCGUAGAUGGAUGUUUAAGUCAGUUGUGAAAGUUUGCGGCUCAACCGUAAAAUUGCAGUUGAUACUGGAUGUCUUGAGUGCAGUUGAGGCAGGCGGAAUUCGUGGUGUAGCGGUGAAAUGCUUAGAUAUCACGAAGAACUCCGAUUGCGAAGGCAGCCUGCUAAGCUGCAACUGACAUUGA
rnacentral:rRNA from 1 species